rnacentral:rRNA from 1 species
GACGAGGGGUCCUAGCGUUGUUCGGAAUCACUGGGCGUAAAGCGUAUGUAGGCGGCUUUUCAAGUCAGGUGUGAAAUCCCAUGGCUUAACCAUGGAACUGCAUUUGAAACUGUAAGGCUUGAGUAUUGGAGAGGAUGGUAGAAUUCCUGGUGUAGUGGUGAAAUACGUAGAUAUCAGGAGGAAUACCGGUGGCGAAGGCGGCCAUCUGGCCAAAUACUGACGCUGAGAUACGAAAGUGUGGGGAUCAAACAGG